rnacentral:rRNA from 1 species
ACGGAAGGCAGCAGUGGGGAAUAUUGGGCAAUGGGCGAAAGCCUGACCCCGCAACGCCGCGUGAAUGAUGACGUUCUUCGGAUUGUAAACUUCUUUAAUUGGGGAAGAAUAAAUGACCUACCCACAGAAUAAGUCACGGCUAACUACGUGCCAGCAGCCGCGGUAAUACGUAGGUGACAAGCGUUAUCCGGAUUUACUGGGCGUAAAGGGCGUGUAGGCGGUUUGGCAAGUCAGAAGUGAAAUUCCUGAGCUCAACGAGGGCGCUGCUUCUGAAACUGCUAGACUUGAGUGCUGGAGGGGCUAGCGGAAUUCCUAGUGGAGCGGUAAAAUGCGCAGAUAUUAGGAAGAACACCGGUGGCGAAGGCGGCUAUCUGGACAGUAACUGACGCUGAGGCGCGAAAGCGUGGGGAGCAAACAGGAUUAGAUACCCUGGUA